GAAGUGCGACGAUGCCGGGGCUGUGAGGGGAGUGCGAGGAAGCCGGUGCGAAUCCGGCGCCGUCCCGCGACUGUGACCGACCUGGGUCGGGAGUCAGGAACUCGCCCCCCUCUUCACCCACCG
rnacentral:ncRNA from 1 species